rnacentral:rRNA from 1 species
AUNUCAGAUCGGGCGAGAUUACCCGCUGAAUUUAAGCAUAUAACUAAGCGGAGGAAAAGAAACUAACAAGGAUUCCCACAGUAACGGCGAGUGAAGCGGUAAAAGCCCAGCACCGAAUCCCCCAGUGUCAUGCUGGCGGGAACUGUGGUGUGUGGGACGCCACCAGUCGCAUUAGCGGGCGCCGAAGUCCUCCUGAUCGAGGCUUUACCCAGAGCGGGUGUAAGGCCUUUGCAGGUGCCUCGCUGUGCGGCCGCGAGCGUCUCAGGAGUCGGGUUGUUUGGGAAUGCUGCCC